rnacentral:lncRNA from 1 species
ACCGCAACAGAAAAGGGACAAGAAACCCCUUCCCAAUGGUGUUCCACCAAUGUUCAGAGCGGAGGGAAGAUGAUAUGAGCACCCGCCUAGAGGCACAAGUUGCUGACUCUUUGUGCCGACUCCGCCUAAAAAAAAAAAAAGGAAAAAAAAAGAAACUGCUUUUUUCUGUCUCCACAGCAGUGCUUCUUCAAUUACAACCACAUCUCCAAAAGAAUGAAAAUGCUUUAUCAUCAGUAGACAAAUGGAGAGCUACUUGGCACGGCCCAGUGCUAAAGAAGACAGACUCAACCCAUCUGAACUGACAAGCCUUCCCUGGCAGAUCCUUCAGGAUCCAGAUAAUCCCCAUGGCCUCUGCACAUCUAGAAACUCCUGGGCAGAACAUAUUAAUCAAACCACAAUUUCUCAAGAUUUGUCCAAAGAACCCUAGCUACACAGGAAUAUAUUCCAAGAAUCAUUUGUAAUAA